AUUCGUAGUCAUUUAGUAGCUCGACCCACUAUUGUGGUCUCAUGUUGAAUUCUACCUGGUAGAAUACAUGAUGUUGGCUNGAUAACGAAUUUCAAAUUCGUAGUCAUUUAGUAGCUCGACCCACUGUCGUGGUCUCAUGUUGAAUUCUACCUGGUAGAAUACAUGAUGCUGGCUUUUGCUCCGAAGUUCCUGAUCAGACUCAUACUUGGCUCAUCCAUCAUCACCUCGUGUAUACAAGUCGUAUAUAAUUUAGAUUUCCCAAAACGUUCAGAUGGGUGACUCUGCCCCACGUCCACAACCAAACAAGGAACAGGAGAUCUUGUUAAGUCUAACUUAUAUACCACCCUCGUGUAUACACUUAGCAACGAUAGAUCAAGUUAAUGAGUUCUUAGUCUCUAUUCUUGAACUUGACCUGUGGUACAAUGAUUUUCCUAUGAGAUCUAUUGAGGUAUUUCAGUAGUUACUGACUUCUAAGACUACUUUUGUGCUUUUCGUUUG
rnacentral:lncRNA from 1 species